rnacentral:rRNA from 1 species
GUCUCCGGCCAUACCACCCUGAACGCGCCCGAUCUCCUCUGAUCUCGGAAGCUAAGCAGGGUCGGGCCUGGUUAGUACUUGGAUGGGAGA